GUUGUGGCUCAGUGGCAGAGCACUUGCCUAGCAUGUGUGAGGCACUGGGUUCGAUCCUCAGCACCACA
rnacentral:tRNA from 1 species